GUGUUAACUUUAUCAGAACACAAACUAAAAUUCGAACAAUAAAGAGAAAAUUAAUAUGGCCUCUGUGCUAGAAUGACAUGCAAAUUGUGAAGGAUACCAUGGUUGA
rnacentral:snRNA from 1 species